AUUUAUUUUAUCAAGGUUGGAGGUAAAUCAUGAAAAGUAGUAUUGCCCAUGUGUGCUACUCUUUAAUUCAAUUGACUUGGGCACUGGUUUUCUAUUUCUUGAUGUAUUUGUAGAUCAAUUUUGGUAUUCAUUCUUUCUACCUUCUAGAGUUUAGGUUAAGGACUGACAUAUAGAGAAAUUGACUAUAAAGUCAUUAUUUAGAUAAUCUCCUUUUUUUUUUUUAAAUAAAAAUAACCAGUUGACCUGCCGGGUUUUUUGUCCUGGUUAUUUUUUAUUAUUGUUUUAUGAAUUCUUUUAUUUAAUUAUUGUUGAAACGGUGGUCUAACUGGUUCAGUACUUACAAUAUUGAUGUGGAAAGUGAUUGGGACAGGCUGUUUUUGCUUAAGUGUACUUUAUCAUAACAAAUAAUUCCUGUAAGCUACUUGGAAAUCAUGACAUAAGAAUUAUUUAGAUCAAGAUGCUAAUAUCUGACUCUUGUGGGUAACAGAAUGAUCUUGUUCCUAUUCGGAUCUUGAUUUUGUUCAUCUAUUUCUUGAUGUAUUUGUAGAUCAAUUUUGGUAUUCAUUCUUUCUACCUUCUAGAGUUUAGGUUAAGGACUGACAUAUAGAGAAAUUGACUAUAAAGUCAUUAUUUAGAUAAUCUCCUUUUUUUUUUAAAUAAAAAUAACCAGUUGACCUGCCGGGUUUUUUGUCCUGGUUAUUUUUUAUUAUUGUUUUAUGAAUUCUUUUAUUUAAUUAUUGUUGAACCGGUGGUCUAACUGGUUCAGUACUUACAAUAUUGAUGUGGAAAGUGAUUGGGACAGGCUGUUUUUGCUUAAGUGUACUUUAUCAUAACAAAUAAUUCCUGUAAGCUACUUGGAAAUCAUGACAUAAGAAUUAUUUAGAUCAAGAUGCUAAUAUCUGACUCUUGUGGGUAACAGAAUGAUCUUGUUCCUAUUCGGAUCUGAUUUUGUUCAUCUAUCUUGGUUAAUCCAG
rnacentral:lncRNA from 1 species